AAAGGAAUAGACGGGGACCCGCACAAGCAGCGGAGCAUGUGGUUUAAUUCGACGCAACGCGAAGAACCUUACCAAGUCUUGACAUAUUACGGCGGAAUUUAGAGAUAAGUUCCUAUCGCUUCGGCGAACUGUAAUACAGGUGGUGCAUGGUUGUCGUCAGCUCGUGUCGUGAGAUGUUGGGUUAAGUCCCAUAACGAGCGCAACCCCUAUUGUUAGUUACCAUCAUUAAGUUGGGGACUCUAACGAUACUGCCGGUGACAAACCGGAGGAAGGUGGGGACGACGUCAAAUCAUCAUGCCCUUUAUGACUUGGGCUACACACGUGCUACAAUGGCAGGUACACAGAGCAGCUAGACAGUGAUGUCAUGCGAAUCUCAAAAAGCCUGUCCCAGUUCGGAUUGCACUCUGCAACUCGAGUGCAUGAAGUUGGAGUUGCUAGUAAUCGUGGAUCAGAAUGCCGCGGUGAAUGCGUUCCCGGGUCUUGUACACACCGCCCGU
rnacentral:rRNA from 1 species